UCUUGGAUUAUACAUGAGACGUCAACACCCUUACUUGUCAGCUGUGUAUACAACUCCACACGCGCGGGAAGUUUUGAACUGGAGAGUUUUGUACUGUAGGUUGUUGAAAAUUGCCAACUUUUGUGCUGUAUUUGGCUGUGGAAACAGGGGGGAUUGUGACAAGAAAUCUUUUCAUCGUUUACCUGCUGUAGUGACAAGAGAAGGUUGACGCAACUCACAUACUUUCGCUAAAAAGACGGACGGAAUGGUUGUCAGGGGUUUCCAGAAACAUCAGUGACAGAAACUUACAGUACACGCGAAUAUGCUCCGAUCACUUCAUAUCUGGAAAGCCAUCAACACUGUAUGAUACCACUAAUCCUGAUUGGGCACCCAGCUUGAAGCUUGGACACAACAAGGUAGAUAGUUGCUCAGUCGCUCGAGACUCAGGUAUGCAAGAAGUGUGAAGAGACAAGAGCAGAAAUGCAAACAUGAUGCUGCGGAAGCUCUCUUACAGCUCGGGUCAGACCAAGAGACACAACCAGUGGAUGAUGAAAGUAAGCUUUCUAAAGCAGCUUGCCAAACUGACCUUGAAGGUAAUGUUCUGUCUGCAUCACAAAAAGAACUCCGGCGACUUUUGGAAGAAAACAGAACACUGAAAGAGCAGCUUGCCAACACCAACAAGUUUGAUUAGGGAAUCUUCAAAGGCAAUGAUGAAAAUGGUAGGCAUGACACAGGACUUCCAAGUUUUGCUGUACUAGUUGCACUUUUUAAUUUUCUUGAAGUGUUUAUACCACAUACAUUCUUGAACAGUUUAACUACAUUUCAACAAUGACAUUUCACUCUAAUGAAACUUCGGCUAAAUCUUUCACAUAUGGACCUUGGAAACCGAUUUCAUGUACAUAAGUCGACAUCAUCCAAAUUGUUUUUUGAAUAUAAUUGAUACCGUGUACGCGAAGUAAAAGCCACUAAUAUAUUGGCCGGAUCGUCAACAGUUGAUGGAAACCAUGCCCAUGUCAUUUAAAACACACUUUGGUCAAAAAAUAACUGUGAUUAUUGACUGUUUUGAGGUAUUCUUAGAAAGGCCAUCAAAUCUUGCAGCACUAUCAUCAACAUGGUCUUCUUAUAAAUCAAACAAUACAAUCAAAUAUUUGAUAGGUAUAACACCACAGGGUGUAAUAUCCUGCAUCGGAGGGGUGGGGUGGCAGGGCAAGUGACAAAUAUGUCGUUGAACACAGUAGCUUUCUGUACAAAUUGUGCGUUGGUGAUGUGGUCAUGGCAGACGGUAUUUGAUGUUUCUGACAGCAUUGGAAUGAUGGGGGCUAAACUUCUUAUUCCUACAAUUAGACGUGACAGGCCUCGUCUUACAGGAAAAAAGUGGAGAAAACACGGCGUAUUGCCAACUCAAGAAUUCACGUGUGCAGUGACCGUGGUUUAAACUGAAGUGACGUUACACGUACGAACCGGAUACGGAUCCUUCUCCACUGCGUGUUCCAGCCGUGCGCAUCAUACGCGCGUGCACGCGCACGCAUGGCGGACUUUUAUGCACGCGUGUACUGGACAUAAAUCAUGAUUGUGACUGGCCAGAACCACUGAUCUCACUGAUUUCUAUAAUAAAAUCUGGAUAGCGCGUUGGCUGUUCAUGUUGACGUAACCGACCGCCAUAUUGCUUCUCCCAAAACAUUAACAACGGAACGGAUAUGUAAACAUUGUACAUGUAGGCCUACGUGCCACACGUUCUCCACCAUGUCCACGGCCGGCGAUUGCAUGUUUAUCACAGUUUUCCUCGGUCAGUUUCCAUAAACGACAAACCCAAAGCCCGUCGUGUUGGGCAGUUAACUGCAAAAAUAGGCAGGUCAAGCAUUUCACCACUAAGUGACACAGUGAAAAAGAAUGACGUUGAGACUUUAGUGCCUCAUCAGCUGAAGUAAUGGUUAGGCGGCCCACAGCAUAGGCCUACCGAGUACCGUCAUGACUACACGUCGAUGUGAGAAGUGUUCGGACACGGGAAUUGGGACAGUAGGCUUGGGGUUAAAAAAUUGUCAGUUUUCCAGAACAAAAAAGGUAACUGUGUCAAAAUAAAGUCUUUUUGUUGGCUCUGGGUACGCCUUGAGCACAUACGGUCAGUAGUCCAAGAAAUAACCUUGAAAUUCGGCCCCGUACUGCCUACUGAAAAAAAACCUGGCCUGCACACACAACACAGCUCUGACAAGAAGCGAAUAGACAGUCACUUUGAGAGACUUGACUACUACUAGAAAGCCAACGUCCAUACCCCAGAAGUAGGCCUACUUUGUUAAUGUAAGGGAUUUUGUUUUGGGAAUUUAUCUUUACCUUCACUGAGAAAGAGAUAGCAAAGCAUUUCAACCAGUAGUGAAUACUUCUGUUGCUCUAAUGACACUAUACUUCUGCAGCCAGUAAGGGCCCAGGAACAACACAACACCCUAGAAAAGUUCACGCGUAAACAUUGUAUAACAUCAUCGGUAAAGAAGUCUAUUGUAACAAAAAAAAUGGACAAGGAAUUAAAUCUCAAACAUACAGGUCAACUUCCACCCUCUUUGACUGCAUAAUGUGUAUGGUGGCGAGGCUCAGGGCACAGAGUGAAUCCAGAGUCUGUGUGCCAUUUAUAAAGCUCACCUAAUUGGGGAUGCUAGCUGUAAGUAGGUUUGGAAUUCUGCUGUUUUGGAAAGAAUACAGAAACUUGCCUCCAGAUUUUUCUUCAAAUAUUAUCACAACAUAACAGGUGACUUGUUGCGAAAGGUUGAAAGAAAAAUUACUCUGGGACUGAAAAAUUCCAUGCUUUUCUAGGAAAUCAUUUGACAAUUUUCUUGACUCCCCAAAUAUUUUACACACAACCACCAAAGAUGAGUCUGGGCAGGGUACAAUACUUUUUCCUUGUAGUUAUGAUGAAGUUCAUCAAAGGCAAGACAACUUUUUCCCAUAUUUAGAAUUUCCUUGGGGGCACUACUCUCAUCUGAAUGUGUGGAUCAUAAAACGAGGAGAGAUAAGUGCUCGUAUCAAUUCAAAGAAUCAUGCUUUGAUUAAGAAUGACCAGACUGCUCCUUUUAAAGGGGGUGCCCUGUACCUGUACUGUUACUUUUUAACCUUUUUUCACCAUCUACAAAAUCUCAGCUGUUUUCGUAAUUGGGAAGAAGCCUACACAUAUGGUAAAUAUAGCUUGUCAUAUUUCCACUUACUUAAAAAUUCACUUGAAGCUCUGUAUUGUUUCUUCGUGAUCUGACAUACAUGUGUAAGCUGAUUUUUCUGAGUAUCUAACUUUAAGAACAAUGUUAUACUUGUAGUUCGUGCAUCUUUUCUGCAAGAUCUGAUGUGUUACAUUUGGAUAGGCUAUUGUUUUGGAAAAAAUUUGAAUUUCACUGCUACCUACUAUGUGUAUUCCCUGUGAACUGACCAUGUGAGAAAACAUGCUUUUGCAGCAGAACUUUAAUUAUUCACUUUUGAAAUAUAAUUUUUCUAUUUGUUUCGAGCAGAAGCAUCCCCUCAUCAGUUGAAAAGAGCUGUGUUGGUCAGGGGUGUUCAUUUUGUUGGUAGCGAUGCGACUAUACUGUGUACACUUUACAGGCAUUUGUGAGCCAGCUAAGUUCAGUUACUAAAGAAGCCUGCAUUGCUUGGAAACUUGCUCCCUCUCUUGGUCCAGCUCGGGGCUCAUUGCCCUUAUAAUCCAUUUUGGAAGGGUACUUAGAAUUGGUCGAAGCAAAUCAUGGUGUAUAUAGUAUAUAUGAAUUUAUCAAUUCAUGACCUGUAUUAAGUAGUGUGCAUUUGUUGGAUUAAUUGCAAUACUUGUGUGAGGACGUAUUUUUCCUAUUACAAUGUUGUGUUGGCUCACUCUUACUGAUGAAAAGCACCUCAGGUUGACUUAGUGUGCUCUUGGUCAUUCAGUAUAUGUUUUUCCUUGAGCAUUGCUCAGAGUGGUUCGAUUCCACUGGUACUAUGUCAAUAUUUCUUUGUUUUAAGUUAUAAUCAGAAUUACUUUCUAAUCUACAAAGUUACAAGUAAACAACAGAUCAGUCCAUGAAAAUGUUGACUGGUUAUUAUACCACAUGUACCAGAUUUCUACCACAUAUGCACAACCAUUUUGUAAUUGCCAGGAACAUGUCCAUGGUAGUGAAAUGGAGGAGGGGGAUCAAAAUAUUGAACAGGGUUCAAAUCAUCAACAUUGGGAGAUGAUGAUCUAAUUUUUUCGGGUUAUUCAGUUCUGAUUGAAAAUCCCACAUCUGCCAUCUUGGAUUAUAUUCCAGCAUACUCCACAUAAGCCCUAUGUCAUUUUUAAAAAGAUGUUUACACUGUGUAUAGUACAUAUACCAAAAAUCUCUAUGUGAAUAGUCCAAAUGGGCUUAGAUGAUCCUGUGUGCAUUUCAUGGGUUAUAACAUUCAGUGUUACAGGUCACAAUUGUUGUGGCUUUAUGUCCCUGGAACAUUAAAAGAAUAUUCUCUUCCAUAAUGUACAUACAAGUUUAUGGAAAUGGCCCCACAGGAGGUUGGAAGUGGUCAUGUUGACUGUGUAUUUGACGGAAAAUCUGGUGUACAUGUACAUUAACCCUAACCCUCCUCAAUCCUUCACCUGUUGGAGGAUUGAGGAGUGUUAGGGUUAAUUACAAUUAUUGUGUCCUUUUGUACAUGAUAUAUAAAAAAAAUUAUACUCCAUGAUUAUAUUCCACAAAUAUUAUAUGUAUACAUUGAUUUAUGUAAAUAGCUUCACAGCUAGUAGGAGGAGGUCAUGUAAAUUUUUUUCAUUUAAAAACAUAUAUACAUUGUAAAUAUUACAAUUGUAGCCUCUUUUCUGACAAAAAAUGAGGUUCACUUUUUUGUUUGGUUUUUAUGUACACAUACUGUUUGCCAGUCAACGGUACACACUCAAAAGAUAAUAAAGUGUUUAUCUUCA